rnacentral:lncRNA from 1 species
CAGGGAGGAAAGUGAGACUUGCAGGAGACACUGAGAGACUUCCUCUACGGGAUCGUUGUGAGGAUUAAGUGACUUCUUGCAACAGUGCUUGGCACAUGGUAAGCACAUACUUGUUGCAUUAUAACAGAAUAAAGAUCCUGUCUUAGGUCUGUUGGGAUCUUUCUUUCAUCUAGAGUGCCUUUUGCUGCUUUCCAAAUCCCCCUUCCACCCUUUUAUUUGUUUUGGAGGAAAGAAGUGUGCCAUGGGCUGUGGACUGAAAGUUCGUGUCCCCCACAAAAUUCAUACAUUGAAAUCCUAACCCCCAAAGUGACAGUAUUAGGAGGUGGAGCAUUUGGGAGGUGAUUUGGUCAUGAGGGUGGAGCCUUCAUGCACGGGAUUAGUGCCCUUAUCAAAGGGACCCCAGAGAGCUCUCUAGUUCUCCCUCUGCCAUGUGAGGACACAGAGAAGUUAGCAGUCUGCAACCUGGAAGAAGGCCCUCGCCAAAACCCGGCCAUGCUGGCGUCCUGAUCUUGAAAGUCCAGUCUCCAGAACUGUGAGAAAUAAGUAUUUGUCUUUUAAGCCACCCAGCCCAUGGUAAUUUGUUACAGCAGCCCAAGAGGACUGAGAUAGAUGGUCUAGAUCAGCACUGUCCAAUAGAAAUACGCAAAACACAUAUGAAAUUAAAAAUUCCUAGAAGCCACAUUAAAAAAUAAAGAGAAACAGGUAACAUUAAUUUCAAUUACAUAUUCCACUUAAUUCAAUAUUUCUAAAACAUUAUCCUUUCAAUAUGUAAUCAAUACAAAGAUUUGUCAAAGAGCUACUUUGCUUUUUUUUGUUUACUAAUCUUUGAAAUCCUGUCUAUAUUUUACUUAUAGCACAUUUCAAUUCAGGCACUAGAUCAUCAUCUGAAAUACUUGAUUAUAUUUAGAUUUCAUCAAAUUGACAAUUGAACAAGUAGAUCCACAUACCCAAGUUGUUCCAUACAACUUCCCAGUAACUGAAACCAGUAUCAGUUUUUAAAGUAAAAUUAGUUAAAAUGAAAUGAAAUUCUAGUUCUUCAGGUGCACCAGCCACAUUUCAAGUGCUCAGGGGCUACAUGUGGCUACUGUAUUGAACAGUGCAGGUCUAGAGGUUGCUAUGGGGAGGACUUAGCAUGGAGAAUGGUGUCUGGCUGUAGGAAUCUCAGGCACAAGGAACUUACAAGAACAGAGACUCUGGCAACAUCCUCAGCUUGUUUCUAUUAUGGUGGGAGGCAGGUAGGGUGGUGUGGGGACAGGGGUGUAAAGAGAAUUGCUUGUUCCUUCAAGAACAAAUGCAUACCACUACUCACUGUCUACCAGCUGCUGCCCUGGGUGCCAGGGAUGCGGUGUGAGUUAGCAGGGAGAGAAGGGACCAGACAAAUCCAAGUAUUUACUGGAGAUAUUGAUGGAAAGACAAUAAUACCAGCCGUUGGCAUUUGUCUGUUAUGAGAAGCCUUCCUGGCCACCAUCUCUUUUGGAUCUUCACAGCAGCUGAGACUCAGGGAGGGCUCAGGACGUUAAGUGACUUGCCCAUAGCAUGUGUGGGGAGGAACAAAGGGCAAAGUGCAGGGCUUCUGAACCCAGGUGCAGGCUCUGUGACUUGCUGUCUUCACUCUGGACAAAGGGCUGAAAGGCCGUCAUGUGUGGGGCCUCCUGUUGCAUGAUUUGUAACCAUGGUGGUGGGAGGGGUCUCUGGGGAGGCAAACAACUUCAGCUGGGCAGUGGAGGCCUCCCAUCCAUGAUGUCCCCUUCAUCUAGGGCCUUUUGCGGUACACAAGGUCUGGUUCCUGCCUCAAUUUGUUCCACUUGCUGAACAUGGUGUCCAAGUGAUUCAUAUGUGUCAUCUCGUCUAACUCCUACCACAGCCUGUUGAGGUAGUUUCUACUGGAAAGACUGGGGUGUGUGGAGGGUUAAGUGCCCGCCCUCUGGUACUGGGCAGCUUGGAUUCACCAUUUCCAGCUGUGUGAUUUUCAGCGCGUGCCUUCGCAGACCGUUCUGCGUGGCUGGGGAGGUCUCAGGAAACUUAGAAUCAUGGCAGAAGGUGAAGGCGAAGCAAGGCAUGUCUUACAUGGUGUCAGGAGAGAGGGAGAAAGGGAGAGGAGGAGAAGGGGAGACGGGGAGAGGGGGAGAGAGAGAGGCAGGUGAAAGAGGGAGGGAGGGAGAGAGAGAGACAGCGAGAGAGAGCGAGAGCAGGGGAAGAGCCGUACAAUUAUCAAACAACCAGAUCUCGUGAGAAUGCUAUCACGAGAACAGCAAGGGGGAAAUCCACGCCCAUGAUUCAAUCACCUCCCAGCAGACCACU